AGUUGAGGGUAAAGGAGAUCAAAAAUGGAAGAUUGGCGAUGUUAGCUGUCAUGGGUGCCUGGUUCCAAGCCGAAUAUACUGGCACUGGACCUAUUGACAACCUCUUUGCUCACCUAGCCGAUCCUGGUCAUGCCACAAUAUUUGCUGUAAGUAGCCAUCCUCAUUCUUCAUAGUACUAAAUUCCAGUCUUUAACAUUAAAACAUACCGAAAAAACGGACACAUAAGCUGAUACCCAUAUAUAGGAUUUAGGAAUAAUGAUAUGGCACAUUCAUACUCAUCAACAAAAUAACCCA
rnacentral:lncRNA from 1 species